rnacentral:rRNA from 1 species
AUGCAAGUCGAACGAGAAAGGGUAGCAAUACCUGAGUAAAGUGGCGCACGGGUGAGUAACACGUGACUAACCUACCUUUUAGUGGGGGAUAACCUAGGGAAACCUGGGCUAAUACCGCAUAAUACCUACGGGUCAAAGCAGCAAUGCGCUGAAAGAGGGGGUCGCGGCCGAUUAGCUAGUUGGCGGGGUAAUUGCCCACCAAGGCAGUGAUCGGUAUCCGGCCUGAGAGGGCGUACGGACACUCUGGA